CCUACGGGUGGCAGCAGUAGGGAAUUUUGCGCAAUGGGCGAAAGCCUGACGCAGCAACGCCGCGUGAUUGAUUAAGGUCUUCGGGGUGUAAAGAUCUGUCAGUGGGGACGAAACUUGACGGUACCCACAGAGUAAGCACCGGCUAACUACGUGCCAGCCGCCGCGGUAAUACGGAGGGUGCAAGCGUUGUCCGGAAUCAUUGGGCGUAAAGAGUUCGUAGGUGGCAUAGUAAGUCUGGUGUUAAAUGCAGAAGCUUAACUUCUGUUCGGCACUGGAUACUGGUAAGCUUGAGUGCGGUAGAGGUAAGGGGAAUUCCUGGUGUAGCGGUGAAAUGCGUAGAUAUCAGGAGGAACAUCGGUGGCGUAGGCGCUUUACUGGGGCGUAACUGACGCUGAGGAACGAAAGUCUGGGUAGCAAACAGGAUUAGAUACCCCGGUAGUC
rnacentral:rRNA from 1 species